UUAACUAAAAUUUGUAUGGAGUUCGAACGUUCGCUGCUAGGGGCGCUGUUCCAACUCCAUACAGAUUUGAGUUA
rnacentral:pre_miRNA from 1 species